AGAGUUUGAUCAUGGCUCAGAAUAAACGCUGGCGGCGUGCCUAACACAUGCAAGUCGAGCGAGAAAGUUCCUUCGGGAGCAAGUAAAGCGGCGGACGGGUGAGUAACGCGUGAGAAUUUACCCUUUAGUGAGGAAUACCUCUGAGAAAUCAGGGCUAAUACUGCAUAAGUCCUUACGGGGAGAAAGGUGGCCUAUUUGCUGCCGCUAAAGGAUAAGCUUGCGGGCUAUUAGCUAGUUGGUGAGGUAAAGGCUCACCAAGGCGAUGAUGGCUAGCCGGCCUGAGAGGGUGUACGGCCACACUGGAACUUAGACACGGUCCAGACUCCUACGGGAGGCAGCAGUGAGGAAUAUUGCGCAAUGGGCGAAAGCCUGACGCAGCGACGCCGCGUGGAGGAUGAAGGUCUUCGGAUUGUAAACUUCUGUUAAGUGGGAAGGAAGAUUUAUCCCUAAUAUGGAUAAAGGAUGACGGUACCAUUAGAGAAAGCACCGGCUAACUUCGUG
rnacentral:rRNA from 1 species